rnacentral:rRNA from 1 species
UGGCGGCGUGCSUAACACAUGCAAGUCGAACGGAGAACUUGAUAAGCUUGCUUAGAGAGUUCUUAGUGGCGGACGGGUGAGUAACGCGUGGGUAACCUACCCAUUAAGCCGGGACAACCCUUGGAAACGAGGGCUAAUACCGGAUACGCUUAAGAUCUGGCAUCAGGUUUUAAGGAAAGAUGGCCUCUGAAGAUGCUAUCGAUAAUGGAUGGACCCGCGUCUGAUUAGCUAGUUGGUGGGGUAAAGGCCUACCAAGGCGACGAUCAGUAGCCGGCCUGAGAGGGUGAACGGCCACACUGGGACUGAGACACGGCCCAGACUCCUACGGGAGGCAGCAGUGGGGAAUCUUCCGCAAUGGACGAAAGUCUGACAGAGACAACGCCGCGUGUAUGAUGAAAGUCUUCGGAUUGUAAAGUACUGUCUUUAGGGAAGAACGGUUCUCUUGAAAAUAUUGAGGGGACAUGACGGUACCUAAGGAGGAAGCCCCGGCUAAACUACGUGCCAGCAGCCGCGGUAAUACGUAUGGGGCAAGCGUUGUCCGGAAUUAUUGGGCGUGAAAGGGCGCGUAUGGCGGGUAUAUUAAGUCCCGGUGUGAAAGAAUCAGGGGCUCGAACCCUGAAGAGUGCUUCUGGAAAACUGGGGUAUCUUUGAAGGACACGGAGAAGGG